CAUCCUCUCCAAGCCGUGGGCCCUCCUUGGGUGUCCCCCUUACUGGUGUGAGGCAUCAUACCAACAACUCUCCUCCCUCCUUUGGUUACCUUGCGAAGGUGCUUUGUUAGAGAUUCAUCCCACUUUCCUGCGUUGCCUGGUGUGCGCAUGAAGUAGAGGGCUUGCAGUUUCAGGCCUACUCGAAGGUUGAAUCCAAAUUUUGGAGAUUUAAUCUUCAAUUCUAUUGUA
rnacentral:lncRNA from 1 species